AACGAACGCUGGCGGCAGGCCUAACACAUGCAAGUCGAGCGCGCCCUUCGGGGUGAGCGGCGGACGGGUGAGUAACGCGUGGGAACGUGCCCUUCUCUGCGGAAUAGCCUCGGGAAACUGAGAGUAAUACCGCAUACGCCCUUUGGGGGAAAGAUUUAUCGGAGAAGGAUCGGCCCGCGUUGGAUUAGGUAGUUGGUGGGGUAAUGGCCCACCAAGCCGACGAUCCAUAGCUGGUGUGAGAGGAUGAUCAGCCACACUGGGACUGAGACACGGCCCAGACUCCUACGGGAGGCAGCAGUGGGGAAUCUUAGACAGUGGGGGCAACCCUGAUCUAGCCAUGCCGCGUGAGUGAUGAAGGCCUUAGGGUUGUAAAGCUCUUUCAGCUGGGAAGAUAAUGACGGUACCAGCAGAAGAAGCCCCGGCUAACUCCGUG
rnacentral:rRNA from 1 species